AUUGAACGCUGGCGGCAGGCCUACCACAUGCACGUCGGGCGAGAGGCGGACAGGUGAGUAAUGUAUGGGGCUCUGCCUGAUGGAGGGGGAUAAAUAAUGGAAACGGUAGCUAAUACCGCCUACCAUCAGAUGAACCCAUAUGGGAGUAGCUGGUAGGUAAUGUAACUGCUUCACUAGGCGAUGAACCCUAGCGGGUCUGAGAGGAGGAUCAGCCACACUGGGAGUGCGACACGGCCCCGCCUCUGACGGGAGGCAGCAGUGUGGAAUAUGGAACACUGGGCGCAAGCCUGAUGCAGCCAUGCCGAGUGUAUGACGAAGGCCUUCGGGUUGUAAAGUACUUUCAGUCGGGAGGCGUUACCGACAGAAGAAGCACCGGCUAACUCCGUGCCAGCAGCCGCGGUAAUAC
rnacentral:rRNA from 1 species